UACAGGGGGGGCAAGCGUUGUUCGGAAUUACUGGGCGUAAAGGGUUCGUAGGUGGCUUACUAAGUCAGACGUGAAAUCCCUCAGCUUAACUGGGGAACUGCGUCUGAUACUGAUGGUCUGGAGGGAGAUAGGGGUGUGCGGAACUUCCAGUGGAGCGGUGAAAUGCGUUGAUAUUGGAAGGAACGCCGGAGGCGAAAGCGGCGCACUGGAUCUCUACUGACGCUGAGGCGCGAAAGCUAGGGGAGCAAACAGG
rnacentral:rRNA from 1 species